rnacentral:lncRNA from 1 species
CAUGCCCCUGUGAAACACAUAAUCUUGUUAAUUUUUAUGGCUGCAUAGUAUUCCAUUGUGUAUACAUAUCACAUUUUCUUAAUCCAGUCUAUCAUUGGUGGGUAUUAGGUUGAUUCUAUGUUUUUGCUAUCAUGAAUAGUGCUGUAAUGAACAUUUGCAUGCAUGUGUCUUUAUAAUAGAAUGAUUUAUUAUUCCUUUGGGUAAAUACCCAGUAAUGGGUUUGAUGGAUCAAAUGAUAUUUCUAUUUUUAGGUCUCUGAAGAAUCUCCAUACCAUCUUCCACAAUUGUUGAACUAAUUUACACUUCCAGUAACAAUGUGACCAACAACACAUGGAAGCUGCCAAGGCUUGGGGUUUACACCCUCUGAAGCAAUGGCCUGAGCUGCACCUUGGACCUUUUUAGCCAAAGCUGAAGCAGCUGAGAGGCAAGGCCCCAAGUCUCAGGCUUCACACAGUAGGGGGCACCUGGACCUAGCCCAGGAAACUAUUUUUCCCUUAAUGGCAUACCCUCCCAUCACAGGCCCAGAAGCCUAGGACAUAACCUGGAGGCAUUUUCCCCUUUGUCUUGGUGAUUAGAUGCAGCACCCCCAGGGGGAACUUUGCCCCUCCCAUUUGGGCACAACCACUGAAGACUUCCUCAUCUUUGCCACAUAAAAGCCCCAGAACACAGCCCCAUUUCUGGCAACCCUCUUUGGGUCCCCUCUCUUUGCUGAGAACUUUUCUGUUGCUUAAUAAAACUUUGCUCUACAUUAUUCCUUCUCUGGUGUCUGCGUGCUUUAUUCUUCUUGGUCAUGGGACAAGAACUUAGACCUAGUUGAACUGAGGAGCGAUUAGGCUGCAACACUAAUAUCAACCAAAAAAUUAGAGAACAAAGGGCAAACAGACCUCAAAGCUAGCAGAAGACAAGAAACAACCCAAAUCAGAGCAGAUCUGAAGGAGACGGAGACACAGUAAAACUACCCUAAGAACAAUGAAUCCAGGAGGUUGUUUUUUUAAAAAAUUAAUAAAAUAGCUCACCAGCUAGACUAAUAAAGAAGAAAAGAGAAG